rnacentral:tRNA from 1 species
GGAGGUAGAGCUCAGUGGUAGAGUGAGUGCCCAGCAUGCACGAGGUCCUGGGUUCAAUCCUCAGUACCGCUA